rnacentral:rRNA from 1 species
AGCGAACGCUGGCGGCAGGCCUAACACAUGCAAGUCGAACGGAACCUUCGGGAUAAGUGGCGGACGGGUGAGUAACACGCGGGAACGUGCCCUUUGGUUCGGAACAACUCAGGGAAACUUGAGCUAAUACCGGAUGUGCUCUUCGGGGGAAAGAUUUAUCGCCAUUGGAGCGGCCCGCGUAUGAUUAGCUAGUUGGUGACGUAAAGGCUCACCAAGGCGACGAUCAGUAGCUGGUCUGAGAGGAUGAUCAGCCACAUUGGGCCUGAGACACGGGCCAAACUCCUACGGGAGGCAGCAGUGGGGAAUCUUGCGCAAUGGGCGAAAGCCUGACGCAGCCAUGCCGCGUGAAUGAUGAAGGUCUUAGGAUUGUAAAAUUCUUUCACCGGGGACGAUAAUGACGGUACCCGGAGAAGAAGCCCCGGCUAACUUCGUGCCAGCCGCCGCCGUAAAAC